AUGUGUUACAGCUCUUUUAGAAUUUAUCUAGCAGAUUUUCUGAUUUUUACUGGAAAAUCCCC
ensembl:snRNA U7 U7 small nuclear RNA